CCCCAUCGAACACCCGAGUACGGCAGGAGCGGGGGACCCACAGGCAGAACGCCUGUUCCGGUCUCUGGAACAGGCUUGGGGUUAAGUCACGUUCAGGCGUGGCCGGACAUCUCCAGUCCGCACCCGACAGCUCACCUCGCAGGCGACGGAGAGGAAUU
rfam:Streptomyces turgidiscabies Car8 gcontig_1113219321373, whole genome shotgun sequence.